CGCAGCAAAGGGAGGAAUGCUGCCAAAAUAAGCUUUUCAGCUCGUCGGAGAACACUCUUUUAUUAAAUGUAUGUGCUGCCCACCGGACGUUUUCAAAGGUAACCAGUAGCUUCAGAGGCACCAAGGAAAGUACUAUAAGCAGAGACUCAACAUCUGGGAAGUUUCAGUAUGUAUUGUCUGUAUAAAAAAACAACUUCUGACUAGCUUUAAAGGGAAAAUCCAACAUUUUUCAGAUCAUAAAAGAUGCAGACAAGAGCCUAUGGACUUAAAGCCACGACGAAAAGGAAGGCAACUCCAUGAUUUCCCAAUAAAUGAAAUAAAAAAAAGAAAAGAAAUGGUUAGGUUAAGAAUUAACACAAAGUAGAAAAGGCACUCGUGGAGAAACUAGGAGAGCACAAAGCCUACUAUAAAAAGUUGUUUUUUUUUCAAAAAGAAAAGAAUGAAAGCAAAAGGAAACAAACAUUCCAAUACCAUCUUGUUUUCAGAAGACCUAGAAGACAGUUUCACAGAUUCUCCUCAAUACUUCUGAUCCUAGGAAGGAGGACACACAUUAAGAAGGUGACAAAAACACAACUGACACGUCACAAAUGAAGGAAUCAACACACCUUCCCUCCCUCCCCUCCAACAAAGACAAUCGGUGGGUGAUACUAAGGGGUCACAAGAGAGAGGGUGAGGAUCACUGGGAGUGCCUCUAGAGACUACAGCACUACUGCUCUGAGGAACUGA